rnacentral:rRNA from 1 species
UUCUUUUGGAGAGUUCUUAUCGAUAAAAGAGUUUGCGACCUCGAUGUUGGAUUAAAAUUUAUUUUUGGUGUAGAAGCUAAAAUAUUGGGUCUGUUCGACCUUUAAAAUU